UACGGAGGGAGCUAGCGUUGUUCGGAAUUACUGGGCGUAAAGCGCACGUAGGCGGCUUUGUAAGUUAGAGGUGAAAGCCCGGGGCUCAACUCCGGAACUGCCUUUAAGACUGCAUCGCUUGAAUCCAGGAGAGGUGAGUGGAAUUCCGAGUGUAGAGGUGAAAUUCGUAGAUAUUCGGAGGAACACCAGUGGCGAAGGCGGCUCACUGGUCCGGUACUGACGCUGAGGUGCGAAAGCGUGGGGAGCAAACAGG
rnacentral:rRNA from 1 species